rnacentral:rRNA from 1 species
UAGCCCCGUAACCGACGCUUCAUCGAGCGUGAAAUCGAGUAGGGCGGGACACGUGAUAUCCUGUCUGAAUAUGGGGGGACCAUCCUCCAAGGCUAAAUACUCCUGACUGACCGAUAGUGAACCAGUACCGUGAGGGAAAGGCGAAAAGAACCCCUGUGAGGGGAGUGAAAUAGAACCUGAAACCGUGUACGUACAAGCAGUAGGAGCACCUUCGUGGUGUGACUGCGUACCUUUUGUAUAAUGGGUCAGCGACUUAUAUUCAGUGGCAAGGUUAACCGUAUAGGGGAGCCGUAGCGAAAGCGAGUCUUAACUGGGCGCUCAGUCUCUGGAUAUAGACCCGAAACCGGGUGAUCUAGCCAUGGGCAGGUUGAAGGUUGAGUAACAUCAACUGGAGGACCGAACCGACUAAUGUUGAAAAAUUAGCGGAUGACUUGUGGCUAGGGGUGAAAGGCCAAUCAAACUCGGAGAUAGCUGGUUCUCCCCGAAAGCUAUUUAGGUAGCGCCUCGGACGAAUACUACUGGGGGUAGAGCACUGUUAAGGCUAGGGGGUCAUCCCGACUUACCAACCCUUUGCAAACUCCGAAUACCAGUAAGUACUAUCCGGGAG